UACAGAGGGGGGCAAGCGUUAAUCGGAAUUACUGGGCGUAAAGCGUGCGUAGACGGUUAUGUAAGUCGGAUGUGAAAGCCCCGGGCUUAACCUGGGAAUUGCAUUCGAGACUGCAUAGCUAGGAUGCGGAAGAGGGAAGUGGAAUUUCCGGUGUAGCGGUGAAAUGCGUAGAUAUCGAGAGGAACACCUGCGGCGAAGGCGGGUUGCUGGGCUGACACUGACGCUGAGGCGCGAAAGCUAGGGGAGCGAACGGG
rnacentral:rRNA from 1 species